UACGUAGGGACCAAGCGUUGUUCGGAUUUACUGGGCGUAAAGGGCGCGUAGGCGGCGUGUUAAGUCACUUGUGAAAUCUCUGAGCUUAACUCAGAACGGUCAAGUGAUACUGAUGUGCUAGAGUGCAGAAGGGGCAACCGGAAUUCUUGGUGUAGCGGUGAAAUGCGUAGAUAUCAAGAGGAACACCAGUGGCGAAGGCGGCGAUCUGGGUGGAUACUGACGCUGAGGUGCGAAAGCGUGGGGAGCAAACAGG
rnacentral:rRNA from 1 species